rnacentral:rRNA from 1 species
GGUUUCCUAGUGGCGAACGGGUGAGUAACGCGUUGGUAACCUGCCCUAAAGAGAGGAAUAACAGUUCGAAAGGACUGCUAAUGCCUCGUGUGGUCGCAAAGUUUAGAUGCUUUGCGAUUAAAGGAGCAAUCCGCUUUAGGAGGGGCCUGCGUCCCAUCAGCUAGUUGGUAGGGUAAUGGCCUACCAAGGCGACGACGGGUAGGGGGCCUGAGAGGGCGAUCCCCCACACUGGCACUGAAACACGGGCCAGACACCUGCGGGUGGCAGCAGUAGGGAAUCUUGCACAAUGGGCGAAAGCCUGAUGCAGCAACGUCGCGUGCGCGAUGACGGCCUUCGGGUUGUAAAGCGCUUUUCGGGGAGAUGAGGAAGGACAGUAUCCCCAGAAUAAGUCUCGGCUAACUACGUGCCAGCAGCCGCGGUAAAACGUAGGAGGCGAGCGUUAUCCGAAUUUACUGGGCGUAAAGCGCGUGUAGGCGGCUCGACAAGUUGGAUGUGAAAUCUCCCGGCUCAACUGGGAGAAGUCAUUCAAUACUGUCAGGCUUGAGGAUGGUAGAGGGAAGCGGAAUUCCCGGUGUAGUGGUGAAAUGCGUAGAUAUCGGGAGGAACACCAGUGGCGAAGGCGGCUUCCUAGGCCAUUCCUGACGCUCAGACGCGAAAGCUAGGGGAGCAAACGGGAUUAGAAACCCCGGUAGUCCUAGCUGUAAACGAUGUGGACUUGGCGUUGGUGGUGUAAAAACUAUCAGUGCCGUAGCUAACGCGAUAAGUCCACCGCCUGGGGACUACGGUCGCAAGGCUAAAACUCAAAGGAAUUGACGGGGGCCCGCACAAGCAGCGGAGCGUGUGGUUUAAUUCGAAGCAACGCGAAGAACCUUACCCGGGUUUGACAUGUUGGUUGUAGGAAUCUGAAAAGUGACCGACCCUUCGGGGAGCCAUCACAGGUGCUGCAUGGCUGUCGUCAGCUCGUGUCGUGAGAUGUCCGGUUAAGUCCGGUAACGAGCGCAACCCUUGCUGUAUGUUAUACGUGUCAUACAGGACUGCCGGAUAAAGCCGGAGGAAGGUGGGGACGACGUCAAGUCAGCAUGGCCUUUAUAUCCGGGGCUACGCACACGCUACAAUGGUCAGCACAAUAGGUUGCAAAGUCGCGAGGCGGAGCCAAUCCAUAAAGCUGGCCUCAGUUCAGAUUGCAGGCUGCAACCCGCCUGCAUGAACCCGGAGUUGCUAGUACCGCAGGACAGCUAUCUGCGGUGAAUACGUUCC